UUCUUGAGAUUCAAACGAAGAAUCGGAGGUGUUAUCGGACUCGGAUUUUGGUGUUCAAGUAUCCAAAUCGAAGGUUUCGACGUGUAGAAUCCAUUUUCAUCAUCAAAAACACUCAGAAAUCAUCAGGUAGGUUCUGAUUUUGGAUUAUAAAUUCGAGUUAAAUUAAUUCAAAUUAGGGCUUUUUGAUUUUGAAGUUGUUUAGGUGUUUUGAUGAUUGUAUGUUGUAGAUAAUGUUCUCCUGAUCAUUUUGGUAUAUCAUAUGCUUGAUUUGGAGUUCAAUAACAUGUAGAAAAGUCAGUUUAAUUGUUGAAAUGGUGUUCUUGGUGUUCUUGAGUGGUUUUGCCGGAAAAGCUUUGAUUUUGGCCGGAUUUUUCAAUUCAUUAAAGCUGGGUUGAUGUGGAUAGUAUCAUUAGAAAGAGCGUGUUGAGGGGAGUUUAAGGGUGUAGAGGGAUGGACCGAACGACAGCCGGAGCCGUCGCCGGAAGCUGGAAAUCGCGGCGCCGCCGCUGAUUUUGCUUGAUUUUUCCGGCUGAUUGGUUCAUCCAAGGCAAAAACGGAAGAGAUAGGUGGUUUCCUGGCGUCGUGGCGGUCAAGUCUGCAUGUGGUGGUGAAGAUUGGGGGCCGGGAGGCCAUUCCCGGCGAGCUCGACGCCGGAGACUCGCCGUUAAUGGCUUCUCCGGUGUCAUGGGGGGGAGAUGACUGCAAAAAUGCAGUUUGACCCCCCAGGUUUCGUUAAACUUGCAAAUUAAACCCUGGGUUUUUAAAAAGUUUUAAAAAUGAUUUUUUGAUUUAAAUUUAAUUUCGAAAAUCAAUUAUUUUAAUUUCAAAAAUUGUUUUUAAUUAUUUAUUAAUUCAAAAAUAAUUCUGAUUUAAUUUAUUAAUUAAUUUUAAUUAGUAAUUAAUUAUUAUAAUUAGUCAAUUAAUUUAAAUAUUAAUUGAUUAAUUGUUUUAAUUAAUUAUUAAUUAAUUUUAAUUGAUUUAUUAAUUAGAUUUAAUUAUUUUAAAUGAUUUUAAAAUUCCGAAAAAUAGUUUCGAGCUUUGAAAUAUUAUUCUAAAAUAUGUUUGAAGCUCGUUAAUUGAUUUCAAAUGAUUUCGGACUUGAUUUCGAGUAUCCAAAAUUGAUUAUUUAUUUAUAAAAUGAUUCUUUGGUCCGUUUUAAUCCCGAAAAAUGUUUUAAAAUCCAUAUCAAAUGCCAGAAAAAAAUCCUUUUGACUUCAAACCUUCUUUGAUAAAUAAAUUUCAUUGAAUAUCUUAUGUGAUACGUGUUGUGGCAUAUCUGAUUGAUGUGUUACGUGUCUACAUGAGCAUUACAGAAUGGUUUUUACAUAUCUUUUGAUCUGUAAGUCGGAUUUAAAUGAAACGAAGGGUAGUUAGAAACUCGUUACGAAGGUGUGAUGAUAAGAAUAGUAUGAGAUCAUAUAUUGAUAGAUGAUUGUUGUGAUUAGCAGAAGAAACAAGGCGUAGAAAGGAAAAGCAAGUGGCGAUAGAGUAGUAUAGCGAGCAAGUGUAAUUGAAACUUGAGAUCAGCUAUAUAAGGCAAGUUCCCUGAGACUUUCCUACAAUUAUAUACUGUAUCUGUGGUGAUUAUUUAACGAGCUUUCUGAUUAAGCCCUGUGAUCUAUUGAAUUAUAGCAUGGAUUAUUUAUCCUAUUGAUUUUUGAACCUUCAACCAGAUUCCUUGAAUUAUAAUAUGGAUUCUUUACUUUAUUGAUUCUUGAACCUUUGACCCGAUUCUUUGAUAUCUGCCACGAACCCUAUUUCAAUUGUAAACCUUCAAUUUUUAAAACUUCUAAAUGAUUACCCUAAAAACCUAAUUUCAUUUCAAGAACAUGCCCUCGAAACCUCAACCAGUUAUCAAUCACACAUCUUUCAGACCUUAAUCAGUUGAUCAGCCCCAAAUAACAUCUGUUAAGACAUAUACUUUACAGUUGAUUGAUUUUUUUCUAUGAACUCUAGUUUCUUGAUCUUAAAAGCAUUCAUUUAUACUUGGAUUCUUUUUGUGAACCUAGAACCUUCUUCAUAAAAACACUAAACUUUGAUAUGCCUUGCCAUCCUAUAAGGCAAUGUCUGAUUCUUUGCUAAACCAUGAAGAUAUUUCUCAUUCCUCCUUUGAGAUCCAUCUGAGACACUUUGAAUAGUAGUCUGCUUCUGCUUCAAAAUUUAUUUAUGAUGUUGAUGUUUCUAUUUUAUUGAAUAAUAUUGUUGAUCAUCUUGAUUGUGAUAGAAUUGGAUAGUUUUCUAAACUUGGACCAAAUGAAUGGUCAGACCAGAUGAGUGGUCGCUUUAGGCCAAUGUGUGCCUUGGAUCCAGUAAACGAGCAUGGUGGGACCUGCUCGGGGUUAGUGUCUGACUGAUCAGCAGCCUAACCUUUGAUUUUUAAAAAUAAAUUUAAUAUCCAAUUCUAAUUGAUACCCUAACAACAAAUCUUGAUAUUGAGAUUGAUUCCGUUAGACACUGGUUCCUUUCAGCUUAUGAUUAAUAUUUUAAAUUGAUAUUGUUAUACUUGCUGAGCUUGUUAGCUCACUCUUGCGAUACUUUAUGUUCUUUCCAGUGAAGGCAGAGAAAGUUGGUAACGAUGACCCUCAGGCUAGUGGUAAGGCCAGGAUUCCAGGCUGAGAGAUGGAGAGAGCUAUCAGCAGCACUUGGUUUUUUAUAUAUGUACUAGUUUGAAUAACGAGACACAAAUGAUGUGUAAGCUUGUAAGAAUUAAGUUUAUAUUUUGGGAUUUGGGUUUGUAAUAAUUAAAGUUGUGUUGUGGCUUGUUUUAUACUUUAACCUGUUGCGAUCCAUGGACAGUUAAGGGUCACUGUAUAUAUUAUAUCAUUAAUUACAGGUUUAUGUUAAGGUGUGGACCCCAAACUUCUGACCCGGGUUUGGAGGGCGCCACAGGUUGGUAUCAGAGCGACAGGUUUAAGUCAAUGAAACAAGCCUAGAUUGUUAGGUUGGGUAGAAGUUUAGGAUUAGAAAUGAGUGAUAGGUAGAUAGAACGUUGAGAGGUUGAGGAUUAUUCGUAAUAGAUUUAGGAUUGAUGUUGGUAGUGGAUGCAGAUUCUCAUACGUGUUUGUUUAUGUUGAUUCUCAGACUAUCAGGCAUGUCAGGCCCCAGUACCCCGGUUCAUUCUGAUCAUUCAGAGUCGACAGUUGAGGGACUUCCAC
rnacentral:lncRNA from 1 species